AUAUAUAUAUGUAUAUAUAUAUAUAUAUAUACACAUAUAUUUCAGUACUGGUGUAGUGUGUGGUGGCAGGUCAGUCACUAGGUGGCACUGCUGUGUACUGCUGCAAAUGGUCAUUUUGUAACAGUUCCAUCAUCUGAUGAUUGUCUGUGAGAAGCUCUUGAAAACGCUAGAUAAUUCUUAGGAUUAAGACUGCAUCAGCUCCAGCAUCUUUUCAUCACCAGUCAAUGUGUUUUCAGUAAUAAAGCAUAAACUUUUUCGUAACAUUAUUGCUUCAUUAAAUAUCUCCAAUAUUUUUUCUGUACAAAACAUAUACUACUACUGGCAAAUUAGAAGUUGAUGGAUUUAUUUAUGCACUAGGGCUGCAAUUAAGUCAUAAUCAAUUAAUCUGUUGAUUUUUUUUUUUUUCUUGAUUAGUUGUUAGGGAGGGGGCAGCCAAGCAGAGAGGAAUUGGAGGGUUGCUGGUCGAAUCCCCUCUACGUCAAAGGCUGGGGUACCCCUGAGCAAGAUCCCCAAUUCCCAUAUCGUAAUCAUAGUUCCAGUCCCAAGCCCAGAUAAAUGCGUACUCAGCAUCUGUGCUUGGAUGGAUGCCAACUGAUAUACAGUGACAGUCACGACAUGUGGUGACAGCUGACGCAAACAAAUCAGUGUUGAUAAGUAGUCAAACUACUCACAGUUGAUGUUUUUUUAAUUGAGUUUAGUUUACUUUUUUCUUUCUUGUUUGUGACAUUUCACAUUACCCAGCGUCAAUUAGUACAGGCUCGGUUCACUGUCACUGAUAUAUUUAGAAAUGAGUUUGUACCAGUGCUUUUCUGCCACAUUUAUUUGAGUAAUUUUGUCAACAUUCCUUAAUAUAAAGUGGUACAGUGACGUGAAGAUGCUGAAAAAAAAAAAAUAAAAAAAUCACCUACAUGAUGCCCACACACUUUCAGCAAUGCAAGGCAAAUGUGUUGCUUUGCAGUGAGCGCGUGGUGAGCAGGAUGACGCUUUCGCGGAGGCUCAUACUCACAAGCACCGUAGCUUGUUAGAAUCAAGCACCCACGUGUGGUUUCCUUACAAUAAACGGCAUUAAGUCGU